GCUAUCACUUUUGGAUGGUCCCGCGGCGUAUUAGCUAGAUGGUGGGGUAACGGCUCACCAUGGCAAUGAUACGUAGCCGACCUGAGAGGGUAAUCGGCCACAUUGGGACUGAGACACGGCCCAAACUCCUACGGGAGGCAGCAGUAGGGAAUCUUCCACAAUGGACGAAAGUCUGAUGGAGCAACGCCGCGUGAGUGAAGAAGGGUUUCGGCUCGUAAAACUCUGUUGUUAAAGAAGAACAUAUCUGAGAGUAACUGUUCAGGUAUUGACGGUAUUUAACCAGAAAGCCACGGCUAACUACGUGCCAGCAGCCGCGGUAAUACGUAGGUGGCAAGCGUUGUCCGGAUUUAUUGGGCGUAAAGCGAGCGCAGGCGGUUUUUUAAGUCUGAUGUGAAAGCCUUCGGCUCAACCGAAGAAGUGCAUCGGAAACUGGGAAACUUGAGUGCAGAAGAGGACAGUGGAACUCCAUGUGUAGCGGUGAAAUGCGUAGAUAUAUGGAAGAACACCAGUGGCGAAGGCGGCUGUCUGGUCUGUAACUGACGCUGAGGCUCGAAAGUAUGGGUAGCAAACAGGAUUAGAUACCCUGGUAGUCCAUACCGUAAACGAUGAAUGCUAAGUGUUGGAGGGUUUCCGCCCUUCAGUGCUGCAGCUAACGCAUUAAGCAUUCCGCCUGGGGAGUACGGCCGCAAGGCUGAAACUCAAAGGAAUUGGACGGGGGCCCGCCACAAGCGGUGGAAGCAGGUGGUUUAAUUUCGAAGCUACCCGAAAGAACCUUAACCAGGUCUUGGACUUACUAUGCAAAUUCUAAAAAAUUAAGACUUUCCCUUUCGGGGACAUGGGAUACCGGGGGGUGCAAGGGUUGUCCCCCACCUCCGUCCCUGAGAAAUUGGGGUUAAAUUCCCCCAACCGAGGGCAACCCUUUAUUAUAAGUU
rnacentral:rRNA from 2 species